GACGAACGCUGGCGGCGUGCUUAACACAUGCAAGUCGAACGGAAAGGCCCUGCUUUUGUGGGGUGCUCGAGUGGCGAACGGGUGAGUAACACGUGAGUAACCUGCCCUUGACUUUGGGAUAACUUCAGGAAACUGGGGCUAAUACCGGAUAGGAGCUCCUGCUGCAUGGUGGGGGUUGGAAAGUUUCGGCGGUUGGGGAUGGACUCGCGGCUUAUCAGCUUGUUGGUGGGGUAGUGGCUUACCAAGGCUUUGACGGGUAGCCGGCCUGAGAGGGUGACCGGCCACAUUGGGACUAAGAUACGGACCAGACUCGUACGGGGGGCAGCAGUGGAGAAUAUUACACAAUGGGCGGAAGCGUGAGGCAGCGACGCCGCGUGCGGGAUGACGGCCUUCGGGUUGUAAACCGCUUUCGCCUGUGACGAAGCGUGAGUGACGGUAAUGGGUAAAGAAGCACCGGCUAACUACGUG
rnacentral:rRNA from 1 species